rnacentral:rRNA from 1 species
GAUGAACGCUGGCGGCGUGCCUAAUACAUGCAAGUCGAGCGAACAGAUGAGGAGCUUGCUCCUCUGACGUUAGCGGCGGACGGGUGAGUAACGCGUGGAUAACCUACCUAUAAGACUGGGAUAACUUCGGGAAACCGUAGCUAAUACCGGAUAAUAUAUUGAACCGCAUGGUUCAAUAGUGAAAGACGGUUUUGCUGUCACUUAUAGAUGGAUCCGCGCCGCAUUAGCUAGUUGGUAAGGUAACGGCUUACCAAGGCAACGAUGCAUAGCCGACCUGAGAGGGUGAUCGGCCACACUGGAACUGAGACACGGUCCAGACUCCUACGGGAGGCAGCAGUAGGGAAUCUUCCGCAAUGGGCGAAAGCCUGACGGAGCAACGCCGCGUGAGUGAUGAAGGUCUUCGGAUCGUAAAACUCUGUUAUUAGGGAAGAACAAAUGUGUAAGUAACUAUGCACGUCUUGACGGUACCUAAUCAGAAAGCCACGGCUAACUACGUG